rnacentral:ncRNA from 1 species
GAACGUGAGCUGGGUUUAGACCGUCGUGAGUCAGGUUAGUUUUACCUUAAUGAUGAAGCGUUGUUGCCACAGUAAUCCUGCUCAGUACGAGAGGAACCGCAGAUUCAGACAUUUGGUUCAUGUGCUUGGCUGAUAAGCCAAUGGUGCGAAGCUACCAUCUGAGGGAUUAUGACUGAACGCCUCUAAGUCAGAAUCCCGCCUGGAAAGCGACGAUGCAUUCGUGCCUCGGCCUCGAGAGGCGUAGCUAGACGGCCGCGUGGCCGUGGAAAGAGCCCGAUUCCGACCCGAGAGGCCGCGGCAAGAGGCGGCCUCGAAGUCGGUGGAUCCUCCUGCUCGAAAGGCGGGGUGCUAAACCAUUCGCAGACGACCUAGUUGAAGAUCGGGGUGUCGUGAUCACUAGAGCAGUACAUCUCACUGCGAUUUGUUGAGAGUAAGCCUCAAGAUCUGUCGGUUUGU